GCUGUGAUGUGUGCGGAAACCCUGGUUCUGACCAUUGGCUUUAUAGGUGCAACGAGUGCGAAUUUGAUGUGCACAUUAGUUGUGUCUACUCUGUGCCUAGCCCACAAUUUCGAACUCUUGUAGCUGUCGAAAAUAACUACAAUAUGACCAGUGGAAAUUAUAUAAAUCAGUCUCAAUCUCAAAAUCCAUUAUCCUCAUCCACCAGAUCUCUAGGAAUGCCAGAAAACAACGUCUACAUGAUGGUCACCAGAGCUCCACCAUCCAACACAAACACAACUUAUGCUAUGAUGAUGGAUCAGGCACUUCAGAUCAAAGUGUGUGGAAUUAAUGCUUUUGACUUGUAAUAAUUAUAUUUGUUCAGGUUGCUGUGUCAGAAUCCAGUUAAAACUGUUGAAUAGCUGUAUUUAUUUGUACGUCUCUUUUGUUAAUUUGUUUUUAGCCUUCUAAGUCAAGUCUAUUCCUAGUCUUUAGGGAAGUAGUUCUGCAGAACAUGGUCACGUUUCCUUAUUUUUAGCCUCAGUUUUCAAUAUUUCUAUUUUGAUGUAAGUCUAUAAAGGCUGCAAGUCUAUUGAAUAAAAAUAAGCUUGAAA